UUCUUUUUUUUUUUUUUUUUUUUUUUUUUUUUUUUUUUUUUUAAUUUUCUAAUGCAGUAGUUUACAAUGUGGUGCCUUAGACACUCACCUAAAAACACCUGAAACAGAGACGGAAUUAUCAACAAGCAGCCCCAAAACUAAGCAGAAUAUCUAGAGACAGGAUCUCCAGAUUAUUUCCCUUGGGUUACAAAGUAAGGUUUCCAAUUCUUUCAGCAUUUGGAUAUUUUUCUUUUAUUUUUCAUAAAAAUUCCCCAGUUUGUCAUUGGCCUCACUGAACUGUGAAUAUAACUGAAUAUAAUAUUCUUGCAUAGAAAAUACAAAUACCAGAUAUACGGAUAAUCUGCUGCUUACAUGAAGACCAUGUUAGUCCUGUUUGCCAAGGAAUUAUCCUGGGAGUUAAUAUCCAACUUACCAUAAGCCAGAAUCUCCCUUAGUUGUCAUGAGUGACUGUUUCUGAGACAUUCUCUCCUCUAGUACCUUUGGCCUCUAUUCUUUCUUCCAAGAUAAAGUUGCCUGUUUCCAACUUUUUGAGAUCUGUUUGUAUUGUUUCUGUUCCAUACUUGGCAUUUUCCCAGUCUUUGAGUUAUUUGCAAACUUUAUUUGUGAUAAUUUAAUAUAUUCUUUCAGAAUAUAGGAAAACACAUAAACAGAAUUGGGCUGGAAUUAAUCCCCACAGGAGACCGAUACAAGCAUCUUUGUCUCAUAAAGAUUUCUCAGAGUUAUAAUCUGAAACAUAGUAUUUAAGACUAAUAAUUUUGCACCCUUCCCCUUUCUUCAACAAAAUGUCAUCGUGUACUAAGCAACACUCAUUUCAGAAAUCAGAAAUCAACCCAAAUUGUAAUCCUAUUAAAAAGAAAAAAUAUUUUGAGAGGAUUUCCAGGCCACCAAUCCAUGUCAACUGCAUUAAUUGCACUAUUAUUUCCCCAGUUUAUUUGUUAACUGAUGCACUCUAACAAAUUCGUGUGGUAUUGAAUUCAGGCAUUAAGUAAUACAGAUUUCUAAACACCGAGAAAUGGUACUUAAAUAUAAUCUUAAAAUAUUUCAAACCUUGCAGUCUUCUGAAACUUUCCCAGCAGACUAAAACACAUCGCUGUGAAUGAUGUAAAACCUCCUCAGCCUCAUCUUUUACAAAUCUCCGAUGUAUAACAAGUUCAUAAAAAACAAA
rnacentral:lncRNA from 1 species